GCGGGAGUGGUGAAGUGGUUAACACACCAGUUUGUGGCACUGGCAUACGGGGGUUCGAUUCCCCUCUCUCGCCCCA
rnacentral:tRNA from 1 species